ensembl:lncRNA
AUGCCUGGCCUAGAGCUUUCCCUGCCCAAAAGCGUUGGUGCCUUCCCAAACUACAAUUUCCUAGGAUUUCAUGGAUCCAGGGCAGUGCAAGUGUUGCCAAUGCAGUCAUGCUUUGUGCCCAGAGAGAGGGAGAUUCACCCUCUGCCAACUACAUGCCAACUCCUCCUUCUUGGCCAGAGUGAGCAAAGUGACUCAGUUUCCCCUCCCACACAUUUCGCCCACAACCCAUGCACACGGCAUGCCUGGGAGAGAGGCGGAGAGGGGGCGGUGGCCCGGCUUUUGCACCCGAGGCUCCUCCGCCUGCCCAUAAAAGCCCAGCCGACGCUUCUCUGGAGUGAAACUGCACCUGACUUUUCCUCUCCAAGAGCAGCACCGACAAACCCGACACACAAAAAGGAUGGAUGCUCAGGACUGUCCCUGCAUCAGCGGCGGUGCUUGUACCUGCGGCAACAACUGUCAGUGCAAAAACUGCAAGUGCAAGACAUGCAAGAAAAGCUGCUGCUCUUGCUGUCCGGUGGGAUGCUCCAAGUGUGCCCAGGGCUGCAUCUGCAAAGGACCCCCUUCGUCCAAAUGCAGCUGCUGCAAGUGAUCCGAUCCGGCCUCUCGCAGCCUCCGUCUGUACAUUUGCCUGCUGCAAGGAUGCCGCCCGAAACCUCUGUGGAUAAUAUUAUACGUCCGUUUGUUGUGCUUUCCAACCUUUUGUGGAAAUAAGCUAUGUGGAAAGUUAAUAAAGCUCUAUGUGUGUGUGUAUAUAAGUCAUAACAAUGGCUGGCUUUUCUCUUGUCUUUGUUUUCUUUGAUUUCCCGACAAUCUCCUCUUGGGUUUUUGCAAUGGCUGACUUGGCUGACUGAAUGGUCGGCGGUUUGAAUCUCGGGAGCGGAGUAGGCUCCCACUGUCAGCCCCAGCUUCUGCCAAACUAGCAGUUCGAAAACAUGUAAAUGUGAGUAGAUCAAUAGGUACCGCUCGGGCAGGAGGAUACGGCAAUCCAUGCAGUCAUGCCGGCUACAUGACCUUGGAGGUGUCUACACACGACACCAGCUCUUCGGCUUAGAGCACCAACCCACAGAGUCGGACACGACUAGACUUAACAUCGGGGGGGGGGAACCUUUACCUAUCAGAUGACGACUCUAAAGAACUGAGUUGGAAGUUGGAGGGAACAAAUAAAAGGAGAAAAACAACAUCAAGGGAAUCCUAGGUGACUUAAAUAUAUCAUGGCUUCAUUGGGUCCAACUAGAUCAAUGGUUCCAAAAUUUUCAAAGGAAGAGCUCGGGGGAAAGAGAACCAACAAAAAUCUGAGGUUCCAGCUGAGUCACAGCCGGUGGUGCAAUACCAGCUAAACAGUAUAAUUUCUCCAGCUAGCAGAUUAUUCCAUAAUGCAGCAUGUUUCAUUAAGAGCCACAUCCUCCGUUUUAACGUGGUGAGAUGUAUUCCACACUGGGCAUGCAUAUUCAGCAGCAGAGUAGCCAAGCGCAAGAGCAGAUGUCUUCAUUGUGAUUCCCAGGUUGUGCCAGUCAGGUUUCAUAUGAUAUUAUUUCAUCAUGGCUUCAUUGGGUCCAACUAGAUCAAUGGUUCCAAAAUUGGCAAAGGAAGAGCUCGGGGGAAAGAGAACCAACAAAAAUCUGAGGUUCCAGCUGAGUCACAGCCGGUGGUGCAAUACCAGCUAAACAGUAUAAUUUCUCCAGCAUAGACAUCUUGCGAUAAUGCAGCAUGUUUCAUUAAGAGCCACAUCCUCCGUUUUAACGUGGUGAGAUGUAUUCCACACUGGGCAUGCAUAUUCAGCAGCAGAGUAGCCAAGCGCAAGAGCAGAUGUCUUCAUUGUGAUUCCCAGGUUGUGCCAGUCAGGUUUCAUAUGAUAUUAUUUCUAGCUCCCACUUUUUGCAUGACAUUCUUGAAAGUCAGAGUACGGUCCAGGGUAACUCCUACCGUGUUUCCCCGAAAAUAAGACAGUGUCAUAUAUUAAUUUUUGCUCCCAAAGAUGUGCUAGGUCUUAUUUUCAGGGGAUAUCUUAUUUUUCCAUGAAGAAGAAUUCAAUUGUUGAAGAAUUAUUGUUGAACAAAAAAAUGAACAUUUAUUAUAUACUGUACAGUAGAUGUCAUCACAAACCAGCAUAACCAGACAAACUGUGAAUCCUCUCAAGAAUUUCUUGUUACUACUAUUAUUUUCAUGUACAGCAAUCUAUGGUACAUACAUUUACCAGUCCUGCAUGCUCUGGUGUUCUGUUUGGCGGGCAUGCUUCCAAACAAAAACUUUGCUAGGUCUUACUUUCAGGGGAGGCCUUAUAUUUAGCAAUUCAGCAAAAUCUCUACUAGGUCUUAUUUUCUGGGGAUGUCUUAUUUUCGGGGAAACAGGGUAGGUAUGUUGUUGUGCUGCAAUGCUCCAGUGGGAUUCCUUCCCAGGUCACCCUCAGAGACCAAGAUGCCUAUCUGUUCUUAAGAUGAAAAACGCACAUCUCCAUUUUAGAUGGAUUAGGAAUCAGCUAGUUUCCCCUGCAAUAGGCAGUAAGAGCACCUAAAGCUUUGGAGAGCUUCUGUUCAACUGUUUCAAUGAAAGUAAAGUGAACCAAUCCUGCCAAGAAAACCCUGUGACAGGAUAGAAAUACAUUCCAAACGUCUUAAGAUGCAUCCAUUGAACCGAGUGCACUUUGACGCUGCCAUGUCUCAAGACCCGAGUUCAAAACUUGAGGCAAGUUCCUGCAGAUGCGGAGCUUUUUCUCCCAAGUUCACCUGUACUCUAUCUUUUUAUUAGCAAAUAGCUGCUAAUAAUGGGUUUUUUUCCUUCUCAGUUAGAAUUAUCCAGGUGUCGUUAUUUCUCCCUUUGAUCCCUUUCCAAGGGUUGGAUCUUUCAAAGGCGCUACACAUUUAACGCUUUGGAGUCUCAACGUAUUUUUCUUUCCAAUGCCUUGGGCAGAAAUGCCUUGGAUAUUUCUCCUUGGGUAUCUGUUCAUUUUCAAUCCUGGCUGCCUUCAAACGGUGGAUUUCCUUUCCGUUGUCCAAUUCUUCCACAAUUACACUAUGUAACACAAUUUUUAUGUCAUUUCCCCAGUUGGGUCUAUCAUUAAAACAUGGGGGAAUGUUUAUUAAAUUGCCAAAACUUUUUUAUGGGAGGGACAUCAUCCUGCAGCCACAUUUUCUAGUUUUCAGUGACUCAUUGACUCUCAACCAAUUCCACCUAGUAUGUGGCAGC